rnacentral:rRNA from 1 species
GACGAACGCUGGCGGCGUGCUUAACACAUGCAAGUCGAACGGAAAGGCCCUGCUUGCAGGGUACUCGAGUGGCGAACGGGUGAGUAACACGUGGGUGAUCUGCCCUGCACUUCGGGAUAAGCCUGGGAAACUGGGUCUAAUACCGGAUAGGAGCCAUUUUUAGUGUGAUGGUUGGAAAGUUUUUUCGGUGUAGGAUGAGCUCGCGGCCUAUCAGCUUGUUGGUGGGGUAAUGGCCUACCAAGGCGGCGACGGGUAGCCGGCCUGAGAGGGUGGACGGCCACAUUGGGACUGAGAGACGGCCCAGACUCCUAAGGGAGGCAGCAGUGGGGAAGAUUGAACAAUGGGCGCAAGCCUGAUGCAGCGACGCCGCGUGGGGGAUGACGGCCUUCGGGUUGUAAAAUCCUUUCGCUAGGGACGAAGCUUUAUGUGACGGUACCUAGAUAAGAAGCACCGGCUAACUACGUG